UGCGUCAUCGUCCUGCGCCACCUCUCCGGGCACUUUAGGGGCGGGAGGCGCGGCAGCGAGUAAUCCUGCGACUUGGCCGCCGCGCGCACUAAGGCACUGAUGUUUGAACAGGAAGCUUCAAAACUUUUGAAAGGACCUUCAGAAUGGCUUUGAAACAGAUAAACUAGAAGUUGCUUCAGAACACCACCUUCAGCAUGUAUCUCUGCUGUUGGGCUUUCCAGGUGAGGAGCUUUUUGAAGAGGUUAUUCUGCAGAGAGCCAGAGAGCUGAAACUCAUGGAACCAGAUUAGUGGACUUGACUUUCUGGCAGAAAUCUGUCGCUUUAUUACAUUCUGCCUAAGAGGUGUGGAGGUAUUCAUGGGACCAAACGGCCUGCAAGGAAGGGAAGUAGCCCUUUCGUGCUGAAUGAAAACUGCGCAAGUGACAUUUCGACUGAAAACACUUAAACCUCCCACGUCCAGAUUCAUUCAACUGGGGACGCACAGGAACCAUUUCUCCUGGGGAGAAAGAAGUGAUACUAGAAACGAAAACCCAAAUAAAGAGAAUGAGGGCAACUGCAAAGUAAAUGGCCGCUUCCACCUCCAAAGAGACAAAGUCAGCCUCCUGGUGGAAUUAUUUCUUCCUUUAUGAUGGUUCAAAGGUAAAGGAAGAAGGAGACCCAACAAGAGCUGGCAUUUGUUAUUUUUAUCCUUCGCAGACCCUGCUUGACCAACAGGAAUUGCUCUGUGGGCAAAUUGCCGGAGUCGUCCGCUGUAUUUCUGACAUUUCUGCCUCUGCUCCCACUCUAAUUCGUCUGUGGAAACUGAAGUUUGCUGUAAAAGUUGAUGGAGAUUACCUUUGGGUGCUGGGAUGUGCUGUGGAGCUCCCUGAUGUCAGCUGCAGGCAGUUUCUGGACCAACUGAUUGGAUUCUUUAACUUUUAUAAUGGACCUGUUUCUCUGGCAUACAAGAGCUUUUCUCAGGAAGCACUGAGCACCAAGUGGGACAGCUUCAUUGAACAAAUUCUGAAAAACACCAGCGAUCUGCAUAAGAUAUUCAAUUCCCUCUGGAACUUGGACCGAACUAAAGUGGAGCCCCUGCUGUUGCUGAAGGCAGCCCUCAUUCUGCAGACCUGCCAGCGCUCGCCUCACGUUCUUGCUGGCUGCAUCCUCUAUAAAGGACUGAUUGUCAGCACCCAGCUCCCACCCUCCCUCACAGCCAAGGUCCUGCUGCAUCGAGCUGCACCUCGGGACCAGAGAGGACCUACGGGAGGGGAUGCCCUGCAGGAGCAUGGAGUGGUGCUCCCCCCAAAUGUCGAGAUCAUGCCUGUUUUCCUGACUGAAGAGGAAGCUGUCAGUCUCUGCGAGUUCCCUGGGGAGUGGAUGACCAGCUCUCCUGCCUCUCCAGCCCGACUCCAGGAAUGCUCAGCCCAGCACCCUCCAAAGGGUUGGAGCACCUCUGCCCCGAGAGAAGACACCUCUAGGCAUCUGGAAUCCAUGGCCUGGACGUUGGCAACCACCCCUGAGCCCAUGUCCCCUGAUGUCACUUGGCCAAAUGGCGAGAAGGAGGACAGACGCCUGUCUGGCCAUGAUCUGGAGCGUAUCAAGCCCACAGAACCGUACAGCACUGUCAGGGAUGAGGGUCCUGGUUCUGACUGGUUCCUGGUGAAGGGACCUGGUUUGUUUGGGAGGAUAGCAGAACCGGACUUGUCUGAAAUCCACAUUCCAGAAACGAAGAAAAGGGGAACAUCCUCAAGUUAUUUUUCCUUACCAAGUGUGUGUACCCUGGAUGGUGGUGGUCCUUAUGGCAAGGAAUCUGUCGGCGACUCUGGCAUCCCAGAACCUGAGCUGCCCUCGGCCCUGCCUGUGGGCAGCCUUUCUCCCUCUCUUCCUGAGAUGCUUGCCCAGAAUGGAGCCCUAGACCAGCGCAGAGACCUUCCUGGGGACAGCAGCCAAGCCCCCAUUCCCAGGGAAGACCGCCUCUUCAGCAGGUUGAGCCGGCCAUUGUCUUUGCCUCACUUGGAUUUGAGGUGGAGAGAAGCUACGCUCCCCGUGGGGCAACAAGUCCUGGAGCAGCGUAUUGCAGGGCAUGAGAGCUACUCAGCCCCCAGCCAGGAAUAUGGCUGGAACUUGGCACAGACUCAGGGCGAUGGUCCCUCUGCAGACAGAACUGACUCCAGGUCAGCAUCCCACGUAGGACUCUCACGGAUGAACCUCUACACUCACAGCGUUAAUGGGCUGGUGCUGUCCCUGCUGGCCAAGGAGACGCUGCUGGGGGACGAGGCUGCCAUCGAGGAGGUGACCCCUUCCCCGAGUGCUGGCCGGUUUGCCUCCCGCAUCCUCCUUGACCACAGCUCUCAGGGACCUAACCUCCUUCUCCUAACAACACGGGGACCCCGGGUUGCUGCUUCAUACAGCUCGUCUCCCUGUGAUGCCUUCAUUCUCAUGGUCUGUGCUGCUCAGAGCUGAGUGGUAGACAUGUUGUUUUGAAGGCCCAGUGUUCCCUCUUCCACCUUCUCCCCAAAAAGAUAAAGAAAAAGCUCAGGCUGCUCUUGAAGAAGGAAGUGAAUGUAUGCCACAUUCACUGUAUGCUAAAUGCAUCUGUUAUUUUAGCCAAGCCCUAGAACAGUUCUGGGAAGAGACAUCCUAACUCCCAUUUACCAGUAAGGAAACAUCUUUGUUGAGUUGAAGACCUAGUCAACUGGUGGGUCCAGAAUCCUCUCUCGUUUCCCUUCUCCCUGCUGUAGCCUCUCUGUCCUGCACCGAUCUGAGCUCGGAAUGAUAGGUGGGAGGGUGCAGGCAAGGGGGAAAUGCCCUGCCGUCUGCGGUGCUUGACAGGUGAACAUACCACUUGUUUUGUCACAGCCCGUCCAUGACGUAGGACAGCAGUCUCGGGGGCUUUUAUGUAAAGUCGGAUUUGGUGGUGGGUAGGCUCCAGGGAAGGGAAUACAGUUUAAUAGAAGAGCUCACUUUUUCGAAAACGAGUAGGAAUGACAGACUUCGAUCAGCUUGCUGGUUGGAGAGCAGGGCUUGUUGAUCAGACCCAGAGUCUGUCUCUAUUAUAAUGGGGGGGAGCUUUUCCUGCCUUUUUGUCCUGGGCCUGCAUACAGAAUACUUGACCUCAUUUCCCUCCAGACCCUCUGCGGCUGUCUGGAAAAGCAAGCCCCUGCAGAGGGGUAAACUGCUACUCAGAUGCGGCAGUGAGCACACCUCGCCUUGAAAGGGCUCCUUGACUGUUGUGCACACACCACGCACCCUCCGGUCGUUUUGACAUCUUGUCUUUCAGGGGAUCAACUGCCACCUCUUUAUGUUUGCAGUAGGUUGGGGGCAGGUAACUGGGUGGAAGGAGAUGUGGGGGAGCUGAGCAAGGAGAGGUUGGGAUUGUUCAGGGGAACAGAGUGAACUCACACCAGGGGGCAGCAUAGAGCUACUGAUCCUGCUCAAAACCCAAGAUCCUCUCAUUGACCUUCAAAUACAGUGAUCAGAUCAUUAAUUUAUUGCUACUAUAGGACUUUGAGCUGGCUGGGUACAGCAGAUGAGGUUUGAGGUUAGUGUGAGAGUGUUAGUGUAAAAUACUUCAUAAAAAUGCAUCCCUCCCCCAUGAAACUAGUGCUUUUGAGUGAAUGUGUAACUGUGUCAUUUCUUCUGCACAUUGACAUUCAAGCCCCUUGCUUUGCUAGGGACUAGAAGCUGGAGGUUCCCAGAUUUAGCUCCACCUGUAUGUCUCCUGGGGCUUUUGUGAGGAUCGCAUGUGUAGUAGGAUAUAUUGGGUUGGCAAACUCUUAAUGUAUAGGAACACAUUGGUAUUUCAGCUUUGCACAACUAUUAAACUCUGCCAUCGCAGUACAAAAACCAUAGAGAAUAUGUAAAUAAAUGGCAUGUCUGUGUCCUACUAAAACUUGUGGACAUGGAAAUUGGAACUUCAUACAGUUUUCACAUGUCACAAUUUUAUUCUUUCUUCCUGACUGUAUAAAAAUAUAAAAAGCAUUCUUAGCUCUCAGGCUAUAUGAAAAUAAACAACUUGCUGGAUUUGGCUCAUGGGCAAAGAUUUGCUGACCCCCAAUAUGUAGGAAAGCACUUGGUUACCAGUUAAAAAAGUUGUCCAUGUGUCAUCUGACAUAACAUCUUGUGAUUGUGCAUUUACUGUUAAUUGAUUUGAUCUUAAAUUAGCAGAAGAUUCCAGAAGCAGAGCUCGGUGCCUAUGGGGAAUACUUGGGUUUUAGCAUCUUUCACUCUCUGUUCCCAUCAUCCCUUCCUCUGGGCGCACUGGCUUGAGAUGGGAGGAUUGACUGUUACCAGGUUCCAGAAACUUCCAAUGAGGCAGUGGUUUGACUUCCUAGUGAAUGGGUUUGUGGGUAUAUGCACACAUCUGACAGAAGGCAGCUCAUUAGCCCCUGACAAGCUGCGUUCCUUAGGCCAUACCAGUGAUCUGAACAGGAGGUAUAAUAUACCUGUCUCCCCUGAGCAGAGGCCCUUCUACUUUACUGUGCACCUCAGUUUAAACCAAGUAGCUCAUAAGUUGAAUGGGCUUGGCAUUGGAUAUGCCCCUUUAUUUUGUAGAUGUUUAUAGAGCACCACCUAGGAGCCAGGCACUCUGCUAGGUGUGGAGUACAUAAAAUAAUAGAUGAGUACAUAAAAUAAAACAGUAUGCAAACCAAUAGGUUUAAACAUCAUUUCUAAGAUGUUCUGAUAGAAAAACUGAUUGAAGCCCGGUCUACUCCCCAAACAACACUCAGCUUCAUGACAUUUACUGCAGAAGCAUUCUCUCUUCAUCUCUGUGCUCUUACAUGUGCUUAUUUUUCUACACAGCUGUUGAAGAAUAAUCCAUGGACAAGUCCUAUGUGCUUAUUAAAGAGAUAGUAUGUCUACCAUAAUAAUUUGCAUUUUCCUGACUCUAUAAAAAUGCCUUCCCUCAGGGUAGCACUUCAGAGUUUACAAAGGACUUUUUUGGAUGUCAUUUCACUUAAUCCAUCUGACAGUCCUGCAGUGGUUUCCAUUUGGGAGAUGAAAAAAAAAAUGAGGUAUAGAAAAAAAUGCAGUAACUUGCCCCUGGUCGUCUGGCCAGGAAGAGGCUGAGCCAGGACGUCCUUCACCUGGGAGUCGCCUGCUGCCCAGGGACAGUGGCCCUCUUCUGGCCAAAGCAGCCUCACGGGAGCCCCAGGAGGCUCAGUUUCAGACGGAGUCCAUCGGGAUGUGACUGAUAUACUUGGUCAAGGCCAAGUCGAGCUCAAAGAAUACCACGCAGCCAUUAAAGAAUGGUGUUUCAGGAGAACAGUUUAAGGAUGAAGAAAGUAGCUCAUGCUGUGUCAUUAGGUUAUAAAACUAGUGUUGGUCAUUGUUCAUGGUUUGAUCCCAUUCUUUCUAAAAGAAGAAUUAUACAUAAUGGUGUGACCCCGUGUUCUCAGCUAUACCUGCGCAUAACUCAUCCCCUGAGAGGUUUUUAAAUCCAGGUGCUUGAGCAGACACACUUCCCAGACAGGCUUCCUCAGUCAGUUCCUCCUCUGAACCACAGAGCCCAGAAAUCCACCUCACCCACACGUCUCAGUCCUUCCCAGGAUGGUGCAUAGCUGGUCCCAUCCUCGAUGCACCCGAGAGGUGAGCUCGUUGCAGACAGCGCAGGACAUCUCAGCCCGGGCCUGUUGGGAAGCGCUGGAGUGUGGGCCCCGCCGGCUAUUCCGUGCACACGAGCGGCCCAGGUGGGAAAGGCGUGGUUAGAAGGAGAUGUGCCAAGGGGCUGACCUUGGCUAUUACUGCAUGGCUAGAUUAUGGCCCAUUUUUCUUUGCUUUCUUCUUUAACUCAUUUUCCUGUUCACCUCUAUUUUCUGAUUUUUCUACAAUAUGAGAAAGCCCUAGAACCUAAGGGUGCGAGUCAGUACUUCUGGUAAAAAUAGCAGUCGGCGUGCUUGUGACUGAAUCAAGUAGCCACUCAGCUCUUCUUGGAUGGUAUUCCCAAGGCUGUGGCUGCCGGGGUUAAUUCUGCAGCUCGCGGCCCUCCCCUGCCCCUUCACAGUACCACAGUAGCCUGGCGUCCCUGAAUGGGCUGGAGGUGCACCUGAAGGAGACACUGCCCAGAGACGAGGCCGCCUUCGCAAGCAGAACGUACAACUUCACGCAUUUUGACCGCAUUCAGAACACGCUGAUGGCGAACCUGCCCCAGGAGGCCACACCCCAGGAUCGCCGCUUCCUCCAGGCCGUCGGCCUGAUGCAUUCAGACUUUGCCCAGCU